AUUGGUGCCACUGAAGCUUGGGCCCGAUUGAACAUAGCCCUUUCCUAGAAUGAUAGAGAUAUGAGAAGCCUCUCUUCCUUUUCAAUCAAGCUACCAAAAUCCAAAUAUUACUAGUUGAAUAAAAUAUGUGUUCACUAUGUAUCUCUUCAUCCAUAUUUCCAAGUAAAAUUAGAAAUCCCACAAUCUAAUUUUACUUUUUUGUAACUUUUUGUUUCAUCAUGUUGGUUUUUCCAAGCAUUUUGUUUCAUAUAAUGACUGACAAACCCUAACUUUCAUUAUGUUGGUUUUUUCUAUCUUCCAAGUUCCAAUCCUUUCAAAAUCUUGGGAAAAAAGAACUUGGGAUCCCAUAGAUUAUUUAUCCCCUCUUUCUUGGCUUUUGUUUUUGGUAAAGAGGUAACUCCUUUCCUAUCCAACCAGUUUCAUGGUUGCUUUUUUCUCCUUUACCAAGCAUAGUGUGUUUAGGGUUUCAAUGAUCUUUCUGCAUGAACUUAAUGAAAAGUCACGAUUCACGUGAGUAAUGGUCCUAAUCGAAUUCCUGUUUGGAGCUCUGUUGGUGUCAGGGGGUGUUUAUGGAACAAAGCUUUACAAGUUUCUUUAUGUCAAGUCGAAAAAGCCCAAUUAAAUGCAAAUGGCUGUCAAGCCAUGCACCGAAUGGAUUGAUUGAUAUGGGCCGUGGUUGGUAGUCGGUAUAAAUAAGCCUCUUCUCCAUCACAUCCUGCUCCCAUUUAAGGUGGCCUUAAAUAGACUUCAAUGACACGAGAACUACCAUGCGUUUGAAAGCAGAUGGUGUCUCACUCCAAUAUAAAAUUACUACUAAAUUUUCAAGGUACAUGUUGCCAACUUUUCCCAAUAUAACAUGUCUGAUUGUCUGAUAAUAAGUAAAAAUAUGGGUGCAUCUUAAUCGUCCUUUUAUUAAAAAAGGUGAAUUCUUUAAUUUAAAUUGUUGAAAAUUUCGUAAGAACACAUUUCUUAUAAUAAUUAAAAAAAGAACCAUCAUCCAUUGUUUUUAUGGGGAUUCUCUAGUAAUAAAGAAGAACAAUUCAUGAUUGAGAUCUUAAAAUUGUUACCACUAAAAAAAAACAUUAUGUGAUAGAUUGCUUUCAUCCCUAGGACAAGAAAAAAUGCCAAGAGUGAAAUGUGGGAUAUGCAUAUGGGCGUGAAGCACAAUCAAUGCAAAAAACGACACAAAGCUCAAGUUGAAAUGAAGACAGCAGACACCAACUUCAAUACUCUUUUUCUCAUCACAAUUUUCGUGUAAAUUAAAUUUUUCUCGGAAAAUGAGGGUCUCCUUGUUGCUUA
rnacentral:lncRNA from 1 species